rnacentral:rRNA from 1 species
AUUAGAUACCCGGACCUUGCACACACCGCCCGUCAAGCCAUGGAAGCUGGGUGUACCUAAAGUCGGUAACCGUAAGGAGCCGCCUAGGGUAAAACUAGUGACUGGGGCU